AGUUGUUAGUUGCUAGCAAAACGUGACGGAACUGUAUUAACCUUUGCAGAUCUGCAGAAGAUUUAAACAUGGAGAAUUCCUGUGAACCCCAAAAAAAAAAUAACUCACGAUCAAGAGUUGGUUGAGGAGUCAGUUCAGCAUGAUAAUGAAGUUGCUAAAGUGUUAGAGCAAGACGGCGGAGGCGAAGUGGAAGCGGAUUCAAUUCCAAAUGUCAGCAGCAACAGCGUCGUCGCUCUUGCUGUUCAGGAGCCAGUUCACGGCCGCGAAUUGGAAUCUGAUUCCACCAU